CACGUAGGGUGCGAGCGUUGUCCGGAAUUAUUGGGCGUAAAGAGCUCGUAGGCGGUGUGUCGCGUCGGCCGUGAAAACCUGGGGCUUAACUCUGGGCGUGCGGUCGAUACGGGCAUCACUGGAGUUCGGCAGGGGAGACUGGAAUUCCUGGUGUAGCGGUGGAAUGCGCAGAUAUCAGGAGGAACACCGGUGGCGAAGGCGGGUCUCUGGGCAGUAACUGACGCUGAGGAGCGAAAGCGUGGGGAGCGAACAGG
rnacentral:rRNA from 1 species